UAUACUUAUAGAUAUUAUUUUAUUUUAUAUACAUGAAAAUGAUCAAUUAGCACAUAGCAUUAGGCCAGUAAGUGUUCUGGUUACUAUGGAGACUCAUGUGGAGCCUGAUGUGUCUGAGUUUUUUCACUUCACGAAGAAAGAAGAUCAUCUACCAUAGAGUCUGUUUCCUGAACAUUGAUGAGGCUGUUAUACUCCACUUGAACAUAUUUAUAUUUUUGAAGUUUUAGUAAACAAAUAAGAGGAUUAAGUAAAAACACAGAGAAAGGGGAAAGAGCAAUAAAAUAUUGCCAUGUGUUGAAUUCA